GCGCUAACCGGCUUACUGCUAUCUUCCAUAAACAAAAUAAAAUGGACAAGGGACUAUCCAGAAGAAACACACCAAGUAAACAUACAGAAGCCAAGCACUUCCUGGUGACUGAAAGGACCAGGGUGUGGCUCUGGGUGUGGGAGACUGAACUGUGGAGAGGAACAGUCCCCUGGAGAUGCAGAGUUCAAAGUCUCAGCAAUCUGUCCACGCAGGCAGGAAGACACGGAGAAGUGACGAAGUGUGUGUCUGCUACAAGCAUCUGGAAUGCUGUGGGAAAUACAAAACCUCUCCUAAUGUGUGAAUGAGAUUUGGGGAAGAAAAAGAGAUGCAGGAACGCUAGGCUCCUCAGACUGCAAUAGAACCACAGCCCUUGAUACCUCAUCUAUGCCACAAGGCCCUGCAGUCCAAAGCACGUCAAUCCUUUAUGGCACUCAGAAACAGAUUGAUCCUUUGGCAGCUGUGGUGCUUCAGAACCAAUCGGGGCUGGACGUCCUGAGAGCUAAGGAAGGUGGUCUUUGCCUGUUCCUCCAAGAAGAAUGCUGUUUCUACAUCAACCAAUCCAGGAUAGUGAGAGAUAAAAAUCCAAGAGCUACAAUCAGACACACAGAAUUCCAAGGAACACGAGGCCUCCAAUUCCUGGAUUUUUGAAAACCCUAUACUUCCUGUUACAGGAGUACCAGCCGCUGUCCACAAGGAGCUUGAUGUGAACAUUUAACAAGUGAGCCCUGAUGGUGAACGUCAGCUAUACCCCGAAACUGACAAUGCCCAAGACAGCAGGAAGCAGCCUAAGAGACACGGUGCCCCUAUUCCCCUUUCACACAUCAGCCCCCCCUCCCCCUUUCUUCUCUUUAUGAUAGGAAAAAGAGAGGUAUGUUGGUAGCAGGAACCGCUGCUUUUGCCUCUAGCAGUGACAUCACCUAGUCACCUGCAUAUCUGUUGCCAUGGCAAUGACCAUACAUUCCCAGCAUACAUUUAGUUCAGCUCCUACCUUCACCUGGGACCAGUUAUGUCACAGUUCAAGUAAAAGGCAGACCCUUUCUGCCCCCUUCCUGUUUUCCUCUCCUCUUUUUCUCUCUUGUCCCUCUUCCCCCCCUCCCUUGUUCUC
rnacentral:sRNA from 1 species